UAACAUUGUAGCUUGCUACAGAUGACGACCGGCGCACGGGUGAGUAACGCGUAUGCAACCUGCCUUUGACAGGGGGAUAGCCCGGAGAAAUCCGGAUUAAUAUCCCAUGGUAUUUACGAAUCGCAUGGUUUGUAAAUUAAAGAUUUUAUCGGUCAAAGAUGGGCAUGCGUGACAUUAGCUAGUUGGUAAGGUAACGGCUUACCAAGGCUGCGAUGUCUAGGGGUUCUGAGAGGAUGAUCCCCCACACUGGUACUGAGACACGGACCAGACUCCUACGGGAGGCAGCAGUGAGGAAUAUUGGUCAAUGGGCGCAAGCCUGAACCAGCCAUCCCGCGUGAAGGAAGACUGCCCUAUGGGUUGUAAACUUCUUUUCUGCACCAAGAAUGGUUACUACGUGUAGUGAUUUGACGGUAGUGCAGGAAUAAGCAUCGGCUAACUCCGUGCCAGCAGCCGCGGUAAUACGGAGGAUGCAAGCGUUAUCCGGAUUCAUUGGGUUUAAAGGGUACGUAGGUGGCCAAUUAAGUCAGUGGUGAAAUCCUGCCGCUUAACGGUAGAACUGCCAUUGAAACUGGUUGGCUUGAGUACAGUUGAGGUAGGCGGAAUGUGUAGUGUAGCGGUGAAAUGCUUAGAUAUUACACAGAACCCCGAUUGCGAAGGCAGCUUACUAAACUGUAACUGACACUGAGGUACGAAAGCGUGGGGAGCGAACAGGAUUAGAUACCCUGGUAGUCCACGCUGUAAACGAUGCUCACUCGCUGUAUGCGAUACAUUGUAUGCGGCCAAGCGAAAGUCUUAAGUGAGCCACCUGGGGAGUACGUUGGCAACAGUGAAACUCAAAGGA
rnacentral:rRNA from 1 species